rnacentral:tRNA from 1 species
GCUCCCGUAGUUUAACGGAUAAAAUAAGGGAUUGCGGAUCCCUUGAUAUAGGUUCGAUUCCUAUCGGGAGCAC